rnacentral:rRNA from 1 species
CCUACGGGGGGCUGCAGUGGGGAAUCUUGCACAAUGGGCGAAAGCCUGAUGCAGCAACGCCGCGUGCGGGAAGAAGGCCCUAGGGUUGUAAACCGCUUUCAGUAGGGAAGAAAAUGACGGUACCUACAGAAGAAGGUGCGGCCAACUACGUGCCAGCAGCCGCGGUGACACGUAGGCACCAAGCGUUAUCCGGAUUUAUUGGGCGUAAAGAGCUCGUAGGCGGUUUGGUAAGUCGGGUGUGAAAACUUAGGGCUCAACCCUGAGAGGCCACUCGAUACUGCUAUGACUAGAGUACGGUAGGGGAGCGGGGAAUUCAUGGUGUAGCGGUGAAAUGCGCAGAUAUCAUGAGGAACACCAGCGGCGAAGGCGCCGCUCUGGGCCGUAACUGACGCUGAGGAGCGAAAGCGUGGGUAGCAAACAGGAUUAGAUACCCCGGUAGUC